CUUUCCUCUCUUUGACCCGACGGCCCUCCAGCACGAGAGUCUCAUGCAGAAUAUCUGUCGAAUUCACUCUUCGGCUUGGCCUCAGCACUUUUCUCUUUUGACUGCUAUGGGUCCUCUGGUCCACUUGCCCUCCACGGGAUCCUUUGUGCUUUUUCUCUGCCUGCCUUCUGCCUGUUUGA